rnacentral:misc_RNA from 1 species
AUGCUUAGCAUAGGCAGAAACAGCGCUUCGCGUUGUCCUGCUCAAUGCAUCGCCUUUUCCAAACUCUCGAAGCUUUCGGGCUUUCGACGUCACAAGUAACCUGAGGACGUUUCUCUCUGAGAGAUGUUCCUCUACCUUUUAUUACCAUCAUUACCCUAUUUAAACUCUUUAGACUGAUAUCAUAAAACAUUUAUUCUGAUAAAUGUAAAAAA